AGUGCCCUUCGGGGAACCUGGAGACAGGUGCUGCAUGGCUGUCGCCAGCUCGUGUCGUGAGAUGUAGGGUUAAGUCCCGCAACGAGCGCAACCCUUGUCUUUAAUUGCCAUCAUUGAGUUGGGGCACUUUAAAGAGACUGCCGGUAAUAAACCGGAGGAAGUGGGGAUGACGUCAAAUCAUCAUGCCCCUUACUGACCUGGGCUACACACGUGCUACAAUGGUUGGUACAACGAGAAGCGAAACCGCGAGGUGAAGCAAAUCUUUUAAAGCCGGUCCCAGUUCGGAUUGCAGGCUGAAACUCGCCUGCAUGAAGUUGGAGUUGCUAGUAAUCGCGGAUCAGCAUGCCGUGGUGAAUGCGUUCCCGGGUCUU
rnacentral:rRNA from 1 species